rnacentral:tRNA from 1 species
CGGGACGUAGCUCAGUUGGCUAGAGCGUACGGUUCGGGACCGUAAGGUCGCUGGUUCAAGUCCAGUCGUCCCGACCA